AACGCACAUUGCGCCCCUGGUAUUCCGAGGGGCAUGCCUGUUCGAGCGUCAUUACACCACUCAAGCCUCUGCUUGGUAUUGGGCGUCGUCCUAGUUGGCGCGCGCCUCAAAGUCUCCGGCUGUUUGACCCGUCUCCCAGCGUUGUGGCAACUAUUUCGCAGUGGAGUUCGAGUUGGAUCGGCCGUUAAAUCUUUCAAAGGUUGACCUCGGAUCAGGUAGGGAUACCCGCUGAACUUAA
rnacentral:misc_RNA from 1 species